AUUGAACGCUGGCGGCAGGCCUAACACAUGCAAGUCGAGCGGCAGCGGGAAAGUAGCUUGCUACUUUUGCCGGCGAGCGGCGGACGGGUGAGUAAUGCCUGGGAAAUUGCCCAGUCGAGGGGGAUAACAGUUGGAAACGACUGCUAAUACCGCAUACGCCCUACGGGGGAAAGCAGGGGACCUUCGGGCCUUGCGCGAUUGGAUAUGCCCAGGUGGGAUUAGCUAGUUGGUGAGGUAAUGGCUCACCAAGGCGACGAUCCCUAGCUGGUCUGAGAGGAUGAUCAGCCACACUGGAACUGAGACACGGUCCAGACUCCUACGGGAGACAGCAGGGGGGAAUAUUGCACAAUGGGGGAAACCCUGAUGCAGCCAUGCCGCGUGUGUGAAGAAGGCCUUCGGGUUGUAAAGCACUUUCAGCGAGGAAGAAAGAUUGGCGCCUAAUACGUGUCAACUGUGACGUUACUCGCAGAAGAAGCACCGGCUAACUCCGUGCCAGCCGCCGCUGUAAAAC
rnacentral:rRNA from 1 species